CACGUAGGGCGCAAGCGUUGUCCGGAAUUAUUGGGCGUAAAGAGCGUGUAGGCGGCCAAGCAGGUCCGUUGUGAAAACUGGAGGCUUAACCUCCAGACGUCGACGGAAACCGCGUGGCUAGAGUCCGGAAGAGGAGAGUGGAAUUCCUGGUGUAGCGGUGAAAUGCGCAGAUAUCAGGAAGAACACCAAUGGCGAAGGCAGCUCUCUGGGACGGUACUGACGCUGAGACGCGAAAGCGUGGGGAGCGAACAGG
rnacentral:rRNA from 1 species